AAUUGUUACAAAGUUCAGCUAGAGGCUUCCUUGUUCCUGUGGUCUUUUCCCAGUUCCCCUGGCAGCCCUCCCCAAGGACCCCUGUGAGACCAGAAAUGGCUUCCCUGGGGACUGAGAAAGCCCACAGAGCUCUUCCUGCUGCUUCCUCUACUCCUGUAUUUUGUUCGGCUCUCUGAAUUAUCUCAGCUCCAGCUUUCUACUCAUAGGGGAAAUUAAUACACUUUCAGGAUGAACUUUGAACACCGAAGAUGAUAAAAAGAAGAUUGCUUAUAUAUUUGUCAAAGUCCUGUUGUCUUGCUCUUGAGAUUGGCUAGGGGCACAUGAUGAGAUAUGAUUUGUUUUUUAAAUAAUGCAUAUGUAAAGUGGAUCCAAAUGAAUUAUAAUUAAACAUAGAGUAUUGACCAGCCAACCUA